rnacentral:lncRNA from 1 species
AGUCCCCGGGCUGCACUCCGGGCCGCUGAGAGAUCGGGUCCCAGAAGUUCCGGGAGUGGUCGGGUGACCCUGGAACUUUCUUCUUCUGGAGCCCGACCUGGGGCUGACUGCAGAGCAGGCUGCUGGCAGGGACCAAAAGGAGCUCCGCGCCAGGCCGGAGGCUGCGCCCGUCACUCGCGGUCCCGGCCGGGUCCCUGGCGCGUAGU